rnacentral:lncRNA from 1 species
GAAAAAGGCGGGAGAUGGCGGCGGAGGGCGCUCCCUCAGGCGGCUCCCGCCCGCACCGUGCGGCUAGGGGAAAAAAAAAAAACAAAAACAACCCCCGUUUCCUUUAAGAUUCGGUCCCCUGCAACGAAAUUCCUGGACGGUCUCCUAGCGCCGGGGCCAUGGAGCAGCUACCAACAGCAAGGGCAGCCCCAGCGUUGGGGCCACGGAGCUGCUCCUCACCCCUGCCCUUACCGAGCAGAGAGGUUGCUGCCUUCCCAUGGCUUCGCUAGCGCUGGAGAAUCUUUAAAACCUUUUAUUUAAAGUCUUUUUAAUGAAGGAUAACUAGAAUUGCUUGCGGAAGCCGCAAAUGAUAGGAGCCAUAUGUAGUUACAAACCCAGAAACAUCCCACCCAGAAGCAGUUCGCAAUAGGAUCGAUGAUUAAUGUUGUCAGGCACUACGAACGUUACAGCUCUUGGCUCCUCUCUUGCAGGAAUCUGCAGAAACGAGAUCUAAUGGGAACAAUACGACGGUAUCGGUGAUUUCAUGGCAUUCUGCAGCUUAAGGAAUAAAAAGUUUUACAAGAAAUAAAAAAAAAAGUUUACAAGUAAUCGCUAUUACAUAAGCUAAUGUAUCACAAUCACUAUUUCUGUGCCACAGCCUGAAAUUCACCUCAGGAACUAAAGUUGAAAACAACAUAUUCCUCACAGACCGCAAAGAAAUAUCUUAUAGGAAGACCUUUAUCCUUGUGUUAUUUUAGAUAGUUCACAGAAGAUUUGUUAGCACUCUUAGGACUACCUGUAUAUCUCACAGCUUUGUCACCUGUCAAUAAAGUGGUCAUCUUGUAAUGCUAAAUGAAGCCUUGAAGUCAAACAUGCUUGUUUAACGUGUACAUACACACAGAAUCUUUCACGUCUGAUUCUUUAUAUUCAAAAUAUUGUUAAUUUAUGCUAAACAGGGGCAUUUGUACAGUACAAGCACAAUGUACAUUUGUACAAACAGCACAAUGUGGUAACAGCC